ACGCCCCCACAUCGGAAACUCGGUGCUCAUCGAAAAAUCCGCGUUUCCCACUGGUAAAUACGACACUGAGUUGCCGUUCAUGUGCCCUCAUCUCGUAAAUACGAUAUUUCCGACACGACUUGAAGGCAGCAUGACUAUAGGUUCUUGGACUAAACCAUUUCCCAUCUAACAAAACAAAAAAAAUCUAUUAUUUAAUCUAGACCUUAUUUUACCAAAUAAUCUUAAUCACAAUGUAUAUUACUAUAAUGUCUGUGGCAAUCUUUAUAUAAUAUAAAAGCACAUCUGUACAUUAUUUACACUUUCCAAUUUUUCCCGGAAAAUCCCCCUAUUGCUGCACGCGAGAUGGUAUGCGCCACGCUACGGAAACCCGAAAAUAGUCCUCGUGCACCUUUCUCCGGUUUUUUCGGACGUCCUGCGAGACGGCUAUUCGAUUCCCGUCCAUGAUUUAUGUUCUCCGGUUUUCCCGCACACCAACACCAUCGUUAUAUUUAUAAUAAAGUUUCUUUAAAGCA